UACGGGGGGAGCAAGCGUUGUUCGGAAUUACUGGGCGUAAAGGGCGUGUAGGCGGCCUUGUAAGUCGGGGGUGAAAUCCACUGGCUCAACCAGUGACGUGCCUUCGAAACUGCUUGGCUUGAGUAUGGCAGAGGAGAGCGGAAUUCCAGGUGUAGCGGUGAAAUGCGCAGAUAUCAGGAGGAACACCAACGGCGAAGGCAGCACUCUGGGCCGGUACUGACGCUGAGGAGCGAAAGCGUGGGGAGCAAACAGG
rnacentral:rRNA from 1 species